rnacentral:rRNA from 1 species
CCUACGGUGGCUGCAGUGGGGAAUAUUGGACAAUGGGCGAAAGCCUGAUCCAGCCAUGCCGCGUGUGUGAAGAAGGCCUUCGGGUUGUAAAGCACUUUCAGUGGGGAAGAAAGCCUUGGGGCUAAUACCCUCGAGGAAGGACAUCACCCACAGAAGAAGCACCGGCUAACUCCGUGCCAGCAGCCGCGGUAAUACGGAGGGUGCGAGCGUUAAUCGGAAUUACUGGGCGUAAAACGCGCGUAGGCGGUCUGAUAAGCCGGUUGUGAAAGCCCCGGGCUCAACCUGGGAACGGCAUCCGGAACUGUCAGGCUAGAGUGCAGGAGAGGAAGGUAGAAUUCCCGGUGUAGCGGUGAAAUGCGUAGAGAUCGGGAGGAAUACCAGUGGCGAAGGCGGUCUUCUGGACUGACACUGACGCUGAGGUGCGAAAGCGUGGGUAGCAAACAGGAUUAGAUACCCGUGUAGUC